UGAGCGGAGGUACGGCUUAGUGGAUUCACGCCCGCUCAGCUGGUGGCUGGGGUUCGAGGUUCCGGGUUUCGGGGGCUGGGGGCCAUGGGUGGCCUCCCCGGAUGAGCAGCGCAAGCAGCUUCGACCUGUGCCCAACUUGGGGCACAGCCAGGGACGCGCAGGUUUCACGUCCGGCGCCUGCAGGAGACAGACGCGCGUCCCCGGUCACUGCGCCCGCGCCGGCUGGGGGACCGCGCCUGGUCCUGGGCCGGAUCCGGGAGAAGGCGGCUAGGACUGGGACUGGGGCGGGAUGCGGCCCCUGCCUGGGCGCGGGGGAGAGGCUGGUGCCGCCUUCGCUCUUCUACCGGGACCCGCAGGUAAGCGGGUAGAGCGUCGGUCCCGCUGCGCUGGGAGCGGGAGGGCGCGUCCCUCGUGGAGUUGAAGAGCUUCGGGGCCUGGGUACUCGGCGGUCAGCGCCCGGGUCCAGGGCCGCUCGCGCCGGUGGGCAACCGAGCGAGGAUGCUGAGGCCGGGUCGGGCGCAUCUCGGAGAGCCGCGGCCCCGGCCCUGGCCCUGGCCCUGGCCGAAACACCACCUCCUCCUGUCCAGAUCGCAGGCUGUUAUCCUGGGGCUAUUUCCAGAGUCACAGGUUCGCUCUUCUUCACCACGCCACGAAAAAGGAGCCCUGUGGGUCUAUGAGAGUGGUGGGGGCGAGCGCUCUCAAUCAGGGAUGUCGCUCUGAGCCCAUUUGCCGUUUUAAAUUACUGUCGCUUUAAAACUUACUCUGCUCCCCUCAGUUAAGAGUGAAGGGAAAUUAGGCGUGUAAAUCCAUACCUCUUAGGAUUAGAGUUUGUUUUCACUGUGUGCAGUGGGAAAAUGAUGUUCCAUAGAUCCUAAUUUUUACAACAAUACUUCACCUAGAGAACCCCGGGUCCUACAGACAGACAAUGGCAGGCGUGAAAAAACAGCGGAAAUUUCACAGCGCGGCAGUGGUAGGGGAGAAGUCAAGAAAAACUUGGGCAUAAGUGACCUCUAAAUGAGCUUCUUUCUGAAAGGGUUUUGCCCCCGCACUAGUGGCAGCAGGACAAGAAUGACCACUCGGAGCCCGCACCCAGGUUUGAGCUGGGCCGUGGCUGGACUCCCUGGUCACCUGGGGACCCUCUUGUUUCUGGAAUCGGGCCUUUCAACUUCCUUAUUGAAAUCGUGGAAGCUUUGAAGUGAAAUUGGAGAAAUGAUACUAUUUCUUUUCUUUCCCCUGUAGUGUUUAUUACCUACUUAAAUGUUUUUCUCAUGGGCAGAAAAGUUAAUAAUAUUUUACUUUAUAAUUUAUUGCCAUGAUAAAAAAUUGAUUUAAAAAUCAACUUUAGUUUUAUGUGUUGUGAACUUUGUAUUUGGUUGCAGGGAAGGAUUAACGACUUAUUUUUAAAGUCUAAUUCUGGUUAUUUUAAAUUAAGGUGAAUCCUUAGGUGAGGCUUUUAUUUUGAAUGUAAAGCAAAAAAGUAAAAACAACAGGUUUUAAGUGCGCUGGAAAGAACCUUCCCCUUCCACCUUUUUUUUUUUUUCCUUAACUUGUGGGGAGCCUCCUGAAAAUUGGCCAAUCUCUUUAAAUUGAAUUUUGGGUUCUAUGUUAGAAAGUUUUGAUUUGUGUUUAUGUUACAGAAUUAUUGACUUAUGGACUUAUUAGCUUCUGAUUUUUUUAUUUAUAUCAUAUUAAGUCUUUAUUGUAGAUAUGAAUAUUGCUUACAUGAUAGAUGAUUGUGGAGAGAACUCAAGAAAUUUUUUAAAAGUUCCCAAGAGUUAUUCUUUGGGUGAAAUUUUAUAAUUUUACAGUCUUAAAAGUUCUGAAAAGUCUGUAUCAAGAUUAAGCAAUUGAUAACAUGGAUGGUUGACUCGUUUUGAAUUUUUAAAUAGGUUAUUAAGAAGGGAGGUAUGAAACGUCUUAUAUUUGAGCAUCCUUUUAAAAAGUAGGAGUGGAAAGAAAAGUGAAGGACAACUUUUUGUACAGUGUAUAACUAGAUAAUUCUAGAAGCUAUGAAAAUGCUUCAGAAAGUAAAAUUAAAAGGUAGGUAAACUUGUAUAUUGUGUUUGUAUAACUUUAAGGAGCAUUCACACUUGUGAAUCUCAAACCUUCAAGUAUAUAAUAUUGAACUGGAUAAAAAAGAAGUUUACUGUAUAUCAUGUUUUCCCUUAGAUUAAAAGAUUAUCUUAGUUUGCCUUAAAAUUGAAGCUCUAGUUAAAUUUGGUGCUGAUUUGGGAUAAUUCCAAAACUUUAAUUUAAUCUAACUCAUUUAUUUUAAUACCUUAUUUUCUUCAGUAAUAGGUCUUUGUAAGAUGCAAUUGCUUGGGAUGUUGACAUUUAAUGACAUUAGAUGUCACUAAAUUUUUCAAAAUUGCCUUGAUUUUCCUUCAUUAUGUAUAUUCAGGUGGCAUUAGCAUAUGAACAUUAUGAGGUCUCUUAGCAAAUUUGAACUGUGAAAAAGCUAUAGAUGCAAUUUCUUGGUUAUUAACAUUUCAGGGAUGAAAUCUAGCAUUAAGAUAAAAACGACUUUUUGAAGACAUUUUAGAAUAUGUAAUAUAUGUAAUAAUAUAAUUCUUAGAGAAUGUUUUUAAUAGUUCUUUUAAUCAUAAAUAACAAAAGAACUGAUAAUUAUACUUUAACAAUUUCUUGAUGCAUUUAAUGACUGUUUCCUCACAAGUAAUCUCCCAAGUAGCUACAAAAUUUUCAUAGGAAUGAAAAUUUAUUUUCUGUUAAAGCAUAUUUCUAUAUAGUAGGAAAAAAAUAAUCUCAUUGAAUCUUGAGUAGGUCAAUCUUAACUAUUAAACAGUGAAAUUUAAUCUUUGUAUUGUGAACUAUAUUUUCACCGAGGACUUUUUAACUAUGUCUUCAUUUUAAAUGCAAAUAAAUACAUAGAAAGUUAACCAGUUAUUCCAUUAGUAUAAUAUAAGUGCCCUAAUGUGUAUGGCUUAUUUGUAUAAAGUAAGUUUUUUUCGCUCACAUCUUAUGUGAGAGAUGAGUCCAGGAAAUUAUUGAAAGAGUUUGGGGAAAAAACUUCUAAGUGUGAUUAUGUUGAAAAUGUGUGUUGGUUUGUCAUUGUAGGGGGGUUAAAAAGAAGAAUUUGGGAUCAAAAUGUACUUUUAGAUUUAGAUUUCCUAGCACUUUCUACUUUGUUGUAUAAUUGCCUUUUUAGUCAGUAUGUAAGUUUUGGAUAUACUACAGCAGACACCCUCCCCCAAAAUAAAAUAGUUCCUCAUUGGAACAUCCUUAAUGAUGGUUUCAUCAAAUGUACAACCUGUUCUGUAUUGUCUGAGUACAAUAUUCCCAAUGAUUCAACAUCUGAAGCCAAUUCAAAAGUUAAAUAUAUUAAAAAUUAAAUAACUAAUUUCCAUUUUAAGAGAAAUAUCCUCUUAAGAGAUUGCUUUUUUUAAAAUGUUACCAAUAGCACCAGUCCUUUGAGUAAAAUAAUAGUUAUAAUAAUUAAAAUGUAUACUUUUAGCAGGGGAAAAAUGUAAUUUAUAUUGACCUUGGGGGCAUUUAUACUGAGAAAUUUGUGGCCCAGUUUCUAUUUCUGUAUCUGUGCUGCCUCUUCUAGAGGAUUGGUCAGGUACUGAGAGAGGAAGAAUUGUAGAGAAAAUUAGUAAAACAAGCUAUUUACGUUGGUCAGAGUUCUGCCUGAUAAGCUUGUGUCCAUGUGAAUUUAGAACCAGGAGAGAAGCUCUGAGACUGUUUCACCAUAGCACUUUUACUGAUUCUUGAGAGUUAGAGAAGAAGGGAGCAGUCCUGUCUGACAUUUGCAAAGCUGACUUCAUGAUGUAUAGCAAAUCAAACCCACGGAAUCUUUCAGUCUUGUCCAAUUCAGCUUCACUUCCUUGCCAGGGGCAUAACAGCUGAAGUUGAAAGUCUUAUGCCCAAAUGGGAAAAUUAGUGCCAUUUGUGUACAGGCAGUAGCCUUAUUCAAACUGCUUUCAACUUAAUUAGGGAAAAAAACCCAAAAGACAGUAUGAUUUGAUUAAAAGUCCUCCAGGGUAGGUAGAAUACAGGCUUAAGACUGGGGCUCAAGAAUGCAUUUAGGCUUUCACUUAUUUUGAAUUAUUAAUAGAUUGUGUUGUCAUUCUCUGGUAUGCUAUUUUGUGAUUUGCUUCAACCUCUACAGUUUGGAUGAUGAGAAAAAUAAAACGAAAUGGUGAAUUUUAAAAUGACCCAUGUGGUAUAACACUGAUCAUAUAUAGUUCUUCCACUUCUGCUGAGAUAUAUCUUUGGGUUUUCUUCAUUGUAUUUUAAGUCUAAAGUUCUUUCCUUAGAAGUUAUUCUGAUUCUGAGAAGAGUGGCAGAAAAGGAAAAAGAACUGUAUCUAAUAGGCAAUGCUAUCUGACAACUGACAUCUUAAAUUAUCUCUGUCAAAUUUCAGGUGGACUUUGGCCUCAGUAGCAAAUUAGAUAUGCAUAGAAUAAGAUAAAGAAAUCAACUCAGAAAGACUUGCCUCAGACACUUGCAGCACACCUGAUUUUCUGACUUAAAUGUGACAUGUAAUGAUCAAUCAAGACCAAUAUAAUUGUACAUUUGAGGUGAAACUACUUUACAGUUCAAGGUUUAGAUGCAAGCAAUGGAUAUAUCCCCUCAAAGUCAAACUGAUAAGAUCAUACUAACUAAAAUAAUCUGAGAUUUUUGAAUUCCAGUGCAUGCUCAAGUAGAAAUUCCAGUCAUAAAGUCAUUAUUGAAUAACCCUGUGAGUUUCGGGUCCUACCUUUUACUGAUUAUCUCAACUCCAUUGAUGUAAUUUUUAAAAAGUUAAAUAAGAAUCAGUGGACUAAAGCAAUAAGUAUGAUUUCUGUGGCAAAAUCUACAUGUAGUGAAUGAAACCUUUUAAAUUAGGAUGGAACUAGCUUUAAACUGUAGUGAGUUAUGAACUAACUGGUAAUAUGACAUUUCCCUUUCAUAUUCUUUAUCAUGACUCAAAACUGAUCUCCUUUAUUAUGGAUGGAAGUGGAUUGAAUUUUAAAAUCAAAUAAGCAAGCUAACCUGAGCUUGCAUCUUGACUUUAAUAGUCUUAUGAAACUGCUGCAUGUUUGCUAGCAUUCUCAUAAUGAUAAAAUUCCAGGUGGCUUUAUUAUUAAUUUUUUGUCUCUGGAUUUGGAAUUAGGGUGAUUUAAAAAGAAUAAAAAAUGUAACAUUCACUUUUUAAAUGACUGUAUAUCUGCAAAUUAAGUAGUCUUCAUGAAAAAUAGUAGUUUAGAUUGUAAUCUGAAGUACAAAAAAAUGACACUGGUACCUAGACCAAGUGUAGCAUUUUAAUUGCUUCUAAUAAUCAAUUAGAAUUGUAUUGUAACUUUGUAACUUCUGAAAACAAAUUUCUAGUUUACAUAAAAGGAAAAUUUAAUAGGACAUAUUAAUCUUACUAAACAUUAACUCAUAUUAGCCAAAGGAGUUUUCUCAUGGAGUUAUACUUUUUCAACCAGAAGCAACUGAAAAUAUUUUGAUAGGAAAAAAAAGAGAAAUAUAGGGGAAAAUAAUGGAAAGAUAGAAAAUAAAAGAUUAACCAAUUUGGAUUGUUUUUUGAAGACUCUUUUACUUAUUUAUUUUGCAGUGCUGGAAAUAGAACCAAGGGCCUUGCACAUGGUAGGCAAGCGCCCUAUCACUGAGCUACAUCCCCAGUGCAAAACUCUUUAAUAUAAUUUUUGGUACUUAAAGGUUUACAGAUUCUGGAGAAGUGGCUGUAAAUCUGAAGUAAUGACAAAGGUAAUGAAAACAUUUGAAAGGUUCAGUUUCCUUUUAAAAUAAAUGUAUUUGAUAACUGAUUAAGGCUCAUGUUCUAAAUUUCUUUUUUUAAAUUAACACAUUGUUAAUUUAAAUGAGACUCAUAAAAAUGAAAAACUAAUUAUAAUUCAUUCAAGAAUAAUUUAAAAAGUAAAUUUAUGUGAAAAGUAAAUCUUUUGAAGAUAAUCAUAAUUGUAGGAUUUUCUUGAUGAAAUUUACUAACGUAGAAAUUAUAAAAUAGCUACAUAAUUUCAGAAUAAUACACAAGUUACUUGGUGUUAGAUAGCUAUAAUUAGUCAAACUAAAACAUUUUAACUAUAAAUAUUAAAAAAUAAAUAAAAUUAUAUAAUUCAUUAUUAUCUGCUUAUUUCAAAAAACGUGUUCAAAUUAUUGAAAGUAUUAGAAUCAACAGAAUUAUUUUCCCAAACUGCUAGGGAAUAAACACCAUCCAAAUCUUUUUUUCAAAAUCAAACAUUUAAGUAAGAUACGUGUCCAACUCUUCUAACUGCCAGAGCCACAAUAGCAACAACAGUUAAAGCUAUAUGCAUUGAUCAUGUCCUGUGUGCCAUGCUUUAUUCUACAUGCUCUAUCUCUGUUACUGCAAAUAAUCUUCAUGGUAGUCCUGUGAUCUAAGUGCAUGAUAGUUCCUAUUUUAUGAAUGUGAAAACUGUCCUCACAAAAUUAAAGAGGUCAGAUAGCAAGUAAAUGGUAUGACCCUGGGAUUCAAAUGUAUCUUUUCUAUAUUCCUGUCUGUGCUCUUGAUUACUUGGCAAUACUUCAUAGUCAUUAAGCAGAAUGUUUGUGAGACUUUUUUAAAAAGUUAUUUGGAAAUCAUUUGUACAGCAUCUUGAAUGUCCUAGUUAUAGUAUGUGUUUUUUCCUUAGGUUUUCUGAACUAGUUCAAAGCCUUUCAUCCCUAAGUCUGGCAAAAGACACAGAUGAUAUAGGUUGUGAUGUUUAUGACCAAAGGAAGCAGCAGAUAGUGUCUUAAAGUACUAAGUCUGAUAUUUUAGAGGAAUUAUAAAUUUUCUCUGAAGAUCAUUCCUAAGACUUGGCUUAUUUUUUUUUUGAAACCACGGUACUGGAAUUGAAAUACAGUUGUAGGCUUUGGGGCACCUAACUCAUAAUAGGUGUUCAAUGACUAGUUCUUAAAAAAUGAAAGAGGAAAUUAAUAAAAUUACCUCUUCAGGUGUUGUGUUUUUUUUUUUUUUUUUUUUUGUGUGUGUGUGUUUUGUUAUUUUUCCCCUAUGAGCGCUCUAAUGUAUGCUGUGGAUAGAGGAAACAUAGUAGGAAGCCUGGUGAUUUAAUACUAACUAUACAACCUGGGACAAGUUCUUGGACCUUCUGGAAACUCAAUUUCUUCUCUUCUGAAAUGUAAAGCAUUCUAUCCCCCUUACUAGUUGUAAUGGUUAUCUAAAUUAUAAUUCCCUUUUAUUAUGACAUCUGACCUUUAACAUGGCAUAAAGCCUAUUGGAACCGUGGAUAUUAAGAGACAACUGGGUUUUUCAUCUUUUGGGUUUUUUUUUUGGGUAGAAUUCUAAGAAAUGAAUGGUGAACCGCUACUCUAGCAGGCAACAAGCGACUCCAUUUCCAUUCUUCCUCUGGUCAAAUGUGUCUCUAGAAAAGAUGCCUCUUCAUCACCUACCACAUUGGCUGGGCCCCGCUUUUCUCAGCCUUUUAAACAUUAGAGCAUAUGAGAGAUUUGGGGCUAAAAUUCUUGGUAAGAAACAUCCCUGGUAAUUAUAAAGGUUUUACUAUUAAAAAUAAAAAGUGAAAUACUGGAGUAAGCAAAAGUUACACAGUGGCAAUAGACCACAGGGAAAUGAGCUCUCAUUAUUUUUCUCUUGUACCAUAUAAAAAUGUAUAAAAAUUAUCAAAAAGCUAAUGUGCAGGGAUAUUGCCUUAUUUGUCUAUAAAAAUGGAGCUCAGUAACAUAACUGCUUCUUGGAGCUUUGGAAUAUUUUAUCCUGUAUUCUUGUUUGAAUUCCUCCUCUAUUUAAGAUAUAUACAUGGAAUCGAAGUGUUUAUGUAAUAGUUCUAUCCUUUUGCCUGCAGGUCAGUUGUAAUAAAUCUAGGAUGUGAUGAUGAAAAAAAAAAAAGAGACAACUGUCACAGUCAGUCAGUCAUAAUUCUCAACACAUGAGAAAGGGGCCCGUGUAAUUGUUUCCAUUAAAGAGUGAAAGCCAAGGAAUAAGGAGGGCAUGGUGCUUUACUGAGUCUCAAGUGGGUUAGAAAUUCAUCAGAGUAGUAGAGAAAAGGUCUUGGGGUCCAGUACAGAAUCUCUAGUGUUUACUAUCCUGUGGUUUUAGACAAGUCACCUGGGCUGUCUGUGUGUGAACUGAGGACACACUUCAUGGCUGCAUAUGUUUCUUAAACACAGUCUCUUUUAAAGUUCUGCUUGCUUAGUUUUAAGUGCCUGUUGUCACUGUACCUCUUGUAGGGGAGUUAAGGAAACUCCCCACGGGAAGGCACUACCCUUACACACACACACACACACACACACACACACACACACACACACUUCCAUAGUAAGGUAAAGCACUACCUGCACCUAUGUUUCCCUGUUAGAACUGUUCUCCCCUGAUUCCAGUCUUUCCCACUGCUCUCUAUCCCAGUUGGCAAAGGAAGUUAGGACUGAUUAGUUUUAUCUUGUGGAGGUUAAAGAUCUUGAACUCCUGAACAGGAUAAUUGCAAAGGCCCCUUUCAAAGCUAACAUUUUGCAAUGCCUGAAAUUCAGCCUAGGCACCCAAUAAAAGAGCAAAGUUGGAAGGCUGAAGAAUGGACUAAGUCAGUUUUCAGACUGAAAAGAAAAAAAAAGACUACAAGAAAUAGAUAAAAAGAUUAAAGAAAAAGAAAUAAGAGUAUAUAUGCUAUUAAAUAUAUGCAUUAAAUGUAUGUACAUUUGAGUUGAAAUGAGUUCAAAUGUCAAAGCAAAAAUGUUAAAAACAAUUAGAUUUUCAUGAGAAAAAAAUAAAAAUAUAAAAGAUAAAUUUCAUAAUGGAAAAGUGACUUUUUAAUAGUAAAAACAAUGAAAGCUUUAGUUUUUUUCAUCCGAGUUUCUCUUCAGACACUCAUUAGAGUGGAGUGGUUAUAUUCCAGGAAAGCAAAGCUUUGCAAAUGGGGAAAGCAAGUUGAAAGACAGGGUGAUGUAAAACAGCAUUCCAGAACAACACGAAAGACAACCAAACCUACACAUUUUGAAAGAGAGAUUUUUUUUUUAAUAAAAGAAUAUUCUAAAGUAUUCUGAAAGUAGGAAGCCAUUGUCUCUUUUUGUGUCUGAAAAUGAAACUCUGCAACUGCACAGAUUGAAAGUUGAAAUUUAAGCAAUGGAAGAAAAAAAAACAGACCAGUUUGUCAUCAAAAAUAGCGUUGCUGGCACCUGUGGCAUUCUAGAAAAUGACACUAGUUUGUGCAUAAUCAUAUAUGAGAGUAAGCAAUGGAAAUGAGCAAAUGUUGCUUAUCAGUUACCAACUGAGCAGGGCCUCUCCAACUGAGCAGCAGCUUGAGGUAGGUUGCUGUGGAGGGAACAAUCUUAGCACACACUUGUCUCUAGCUCCCACCCCCAUGUUACAGAUACCAGGCAGGAGUCAUGAGCUCUGCAUGGACUUUGAAGGCGGCAUGUAUUUAAAUCCCAGUUCAGAACUUAACUUCUGGGUGUGUCAUUUGGACUAAAAGCUCCCUGCUUCACCUUUCUCAUUUUUUAAAUGGGGCUAUGCUAAGCUCUAAUAUUCCCUCCCAGGAAUGUUGUGAGGAUCAGUGAGCUCAUACAUACGAAAAUAUUUUAUAACUGUACCUGGAUACUUUUACUCUAACACAGAGAGAUCUUUUUGGAAUUAUUUCCAGGGAGAAGAGGGAAUUAAACAAAGUGAUGAGUCAUCUUUUUUUAAUUGUUGAAGUUCUUGAGCAUUUAGGACAUCAUUUAAAUUCAGGGAUUCCUAGUCUGGAGACCAUGGAUUGUGAGGGAACCUGUAGACAGAAUUCAGGAAUUGUGAGCUUGUAUACAAAACCAAAAAACUGCACUUUAUUUUCACUAACCUGUAAGUGAAAUUUAUCAUUGCCUUCAAUUAUGAAGGAGAUAACAAGUUGCACACAUAUUUAACAGGACCUAUGAUUUUUCAUCAGUAGGAAUGAAACACUUUCGUAUUACAUUGCAUGUGCUGAUAGCUAGAAAUUGUUUAAUGCAGCUUUGAUAUUAUAGUAAUUAUUAGGCCUGCUAGUUUGAUCUUGUUAUUUAAUCUUUUAGUAAAGCAACACACAUAUGAAUGCAUCAAACUUUUUGUUUUGUAAUUCAGGUAUUUUGGUAUCAUUGGUUUCCUUUAUAAUCUGAUAUAUUUUAUCUUAUGCAUUUCAUCUGAGGAGGGAUCCAUGGAUUCAAAAGAGUUUUUGUUUUAAGUUCUUAUUCUGAUAUGAGAAUGGUAUGCUUCACCAGAUAAGGGCAUUAAAGAGUAACCUAUGUGCAUACUAACUACUUUUCCAAGUAAAAGUUUCCAGUUAUGCAAAGAAAAAUAGCUGAAUAUUGUAAUAUAAUGAAACAGUGCUCUGGACAAAAAAAUGCAUAUUCUUUUCAUUCUAUAUCUCAAAAGAGUAUUAUCUUUGUCAGGCAUGGAGGAUUCAGGCCAAACCAGGGUGACAAUCUUAGUGAAUGACAAACAGUAUGCACACCUUACAGAGUCAAUACCUUCCUAAUACCUGUAGAUGAUGCCUGAACCACUCUGCCUGAAGUGCUCCCAUCUAGAAACCCAAAUUAAAAGAUAAAUGUUUACAUUUCAUUUUUAAAUAUUGUGUUUUGUCAUUAUGCAUUUAAUGUAUAAAACUGAGAAUAACUGAGAUUACUCCACUCCUACAGACCUUUGUUUGAACCUUUGUACGAGUGCUCAGUGCAUGCCUAAUAUAUGUGCAUCUUUCUCUCCACAUAAGUCUUAGUUCCUUAAACUCUCAAUCUUAUCUUGGCAUAUUCUCUGCUGACUUUAUUUAGCACUUAAGAAGAAAUAAUUGAGUAAAUUAUCCUGGUGCACAUUUUAGGUCAUUGGGACUUUUUAUUGCAUUCAUAGUCUUUUCUGCAAACUCUGCCUUCUGCUUAAAAUAUUAGACUGCAUUUGCAGAACACAACAACUAAGCAAGCAUUUAUUUCCUACAUCAGGUUCAUCUUGAUUUCCCAUGUUGGAUAUUUAAGCUUCCUCAAUAACAGGCACUUGAGAGUUAUGUUUAUCCUGGGAAUUGUCACAUUCUUCGUUUUGCUUGGCCUUGGUGUCCUUACAUCUGAUGAUGCAUGUCCUUGAGGUCUGCUGUUCUUAUGCGACAACCAGGAGCAUCAAAACCUUUCUAACCUGGAAGGGCCCAAUUUUGUUUUGGGUUGGUGAUUGAAACCAAGGAAGGUGAAGGGACUCAUUCAGGCUUCAUAAUGGGUCAAUGGUAGACUUGAGCUGCUUCCGUUCUGUAUAUUUUCAUCCAUGCCUUUCUACCUCAUCAGCCUUUCUACCUCAUCAGCCUUUCUUUAAAGUUCAUUCUAACCUCUAGAUUCUGCAUAGGAUUCUUUGAUCAGCUUUGAAAAUUCUGCAUUUUAUGUAUUUUACCUAUUAAAGUUUCUGAGAAUUUCCACAACAAAAAAACUUGUCUGAUUUUUAAUACACAUUUUUUUGUUUAUUUGACCACAGAAUCCCCUUUUUCCCUUAGCACCACCUAAUAAGAAGUUAUACUGUGGGUCUCUACAACUCUGCACAGUGGUGAGCUUUGAUGAUGAUGAUGUUGAUGCUUACAAUAGUGACAUUUACAAUGUUGUAGACACUGUUUUAAACACUUCAUAUAUAUAUACAUAUAUAUGUGUGUGUGUAUGUGUGUAUAUAUGUAUGUAUAUGACUCAUAUUCCUCAUAAAGAUCCAUUGAAGCAGGAACUAUUGUACCAUUCAUUUUACAGAUGAGGAAACUGAGGGCCAGAAAGGAGGCUGAAAUGUAGUAGUUUGUUGCUCAAGUAAUAGUGUGCUACUGUAAACCAGGCCUUCUCAAUAUUGGCACUAUUGACAUUUUGACCUUAUAAUUUGUUGUUAUGGAAGGCUGCCCUGUGCAUUGUAAGAUUCUUGCCUUUUACCCAUUUGUGUCAACCAAUAAUGUCUACAGAUAUUGCCACAUGUCCUCUAAAUUGCUUCUGUUGAGAACUGAUGUUGUAAACCUGUAAAGAAAUAUACUUUCUUGAGAGCCUUCUUAGUAACUUUUGCAGUGACUCAUGCUCAUGAUUGGGCAAAUUACACAUUGCAGGUUCUGUGACUAUGUCAAGCAGUAUACACUUGUGUGGAGGCGGAUGUGAGUUAAACUUGACCCAUGCUACUCUCUUUCGCACCAGUUCAUUACACUGCUUCUGGUGAGAGCCAGAAGGCCACAAUUGUUGAUUCUGCUUUCACCUUCUUUUAACUACCUUCAGCACACACCCCCAAUUCAUGUAUUGUUUCCAUUUUAUACUUCCCUUUGGACUUGACCCAUAUAAAUACACAUUACCCUCACCCCCCCCACACACACACACAAACACACACACACACAAAAUCUUGUUUUUUCUCUGUGUAAUAGAGGACUUAAUACAUCUGAAUUACUCCACAGUAAGAACUUAGGCCUGAGCCAAGAUUAACAGCUUCCAAGAAAAACAUACCCAGCAAUGAAUAACUCACAAAGAUUUGGCAAAGCAAAGGUAAAGUUAUAUGAUGAAGUAUAUUACUAAGUUAGUGGGUUUUAUUUUUCCAGUGCGAUAACCUAUUAAAUUCACACACUUCAAAUGGAUUUGAGGCUUUGGGUCAUUGUUUAUUUGUAAUUUAAUAUGCCAUUUUCAGGAGGAGCUCAGGUAUUAAAAAACAGCAGUGAAAACAGCCAGAUUUAAAUCACGUUCCUGCCAAACAUUUACUAUGUGACCUCAUGUCUUUUUUUUAAGAGUUUGUUUCCCCACUAUUAAAAUGAGAUAAUGAGAUGAAACUGAUCAUAUAGUUGAAGAGUUGAAAUGAGAAAAUAGAUGCACCGAUAUUUGGCCCAAGUCCUGGCAUGCAAGUUUACCUCCUUCCUUUUCCAAGGCCAAUUUCUCAGGGCUUUCAACUUCGCAAUUGAUUUUUUUUUUCAAUUCUUUAGUUGUGAACCAAUUGUUUUUUAAGGGGAUCAGAGAUAUCAUCAAGUAACCUAGUACAGGUAACUUGUAUUACAAGGUGGGGAUUGGAGAGCAGGGAGGGUAGGUACAGUAUUCAAAACCAUUGAGUUUUGAAAGCUUUAUAUUUAAAGAUAGCAAGGUAGCAGAGGGAGGAAGCGUGAGGAGUCACAGAGGACCUGUGGAAACAAAGCUCUCCCUCUGAUAUUUGUGGCCAUUGACUAAUUCAACUUUCAAUGGAUAUUUGAAUGUCUACAAUGUGCUGGAAUACUGGGGAUUCAAAGAGAGCAAAAUACCGAAAAUUAGCUACUCUAUCCCUGCCCCAUGAAAACUUUGUGACCCUGAAAUUGGUUCUUAAGCUUAGGUGAACUUGGAAAGAUUACUGAGAUCCAUUAAUCAUAUCUGCUAUGGGCAAGAGAUAAAGGCAGAAAUGGCACCGAGUUUGGUAGUCCUUAGGUUCAAUAUCUUUCAAAAGGUGGAUUUGACCCAAAUUAUUAUAUCAUGAAUCAACUUCUUGAGUCACCACAGUGCUAUUUCAGAAAUAGAAGAGAAGGAAAUAGAGAAUUAUCAAAGUGUAUUAUGCAUAGUGGUUAGUGUCUUGUAAAACUUGGCUUUAGUUAUGUAUGUAUUGUGUACCAGAGUGUGAUGUAAAAUACAUUUCCUACAACGAGUUCCAUAAAAAUAAUGAGAAUAGUGACUACAUAAACUACUCCUUUCUCUCUACAUUCAAACUGUUUGUAUGUCUGGCAUUAUGCGACACAUUUGAUAGUCUGGGCCCUGUUAAUCAAAAACAUAGAAUAACGCAUUUGUUCUAGUAGUCAGUCUUUAAUACAUAAUAUGUUUAUUCUUUGAGUCUAAUUUCAUUAGAGUCUUCAUAGUUUAUGCAGAGUGGUUAGUAAUUAUAUUUAUAUUUAUGGUAAGUUAAGGAGGGAGGCAAAAUAGCCAAGUAUUUAGAAGGCACUAGAGUGAUGCUUUGCAGUACAGGCCAUGCCAUUUUAGAGCUGCAAGGCCAAAUUGUGAUAUCACAUGGCAAGGCCUUAUAGGAACAGCAUCAGAGUUAAGCAUAGCAAUAAAGAUGGUGCUAGGUAUCACAUGUUGGGAGCAUGUCCAUGGCAAAGAAUUAGAAACUGCAAACACUGUUUUACCAGUUGACUUCACAGCUGUUGGUUCCAUUUUAUUUCAAAAGGGUAGAGAAAGAAAUGAAACCCAUAAUAAGGAUAAAAGAAAUGUCCAUGGGAGAGUAUUUGGAAACGACAAGGAAAGAGGACUAGGAGCAAGACAAUAAGAAAGAUGAUCAUAACACUUUGCUUCUAAUCUAAGGACUGAUUUCAAGCACAGAAUGGUCAUUUCAAAGUCAUAUGUCAAUACUUUGUGAUUAGGGAAAAAACCAAAAAACCUUUGUCAUGCAACAGGCUUGCAUGGCAGUCCCAGGAUGAGAACUGGAUAGGACUAAUUUGAACAUAAUUUUAAGACAUGGUCAAUUGAAAGCACCUUGAAUUUGGGGCAAAAAAGAAUAAGGUUUGAAUCUGCUUUUGCCAUCCUAGCUCUUUGGCCCUCAGCAGAUCAUGUCAUCUCUUGGAAACCUAAUCUUCUACACACACCAAAUACAUAUAUAUAAUCACAGUUCACAGGGUGAUUAUCAAGAUUGACAAAAAGCUCAUAUGAGUGGUCAAAUGGUUAUUUCUCUCCAACACUCCACUCUAUUGGAAAACACAGAUUUACAGUGUAUUUUUAAAGCAUAAACAAUUUCUAUGUGAGCACAUAUGGAAACAUGGGCAAGUUGAAGUUGGAAAACAUACCAGAAACUUUCCAAAAUGAUCUUCGAUUGUAAAGUAAUGAAGUCUGUCACACCCUCCCUGUGUGCCUGUGGCUACUUGUUUUGUCUUGUUGCAGGGAACAUGGGACAACAAGCUCACCAAGGUCAUCCCUUCCACAUUACUGUCCAUUGCAUUUUAUACCAUGAUCCAGAUCAGUGGUUGUGCAUCAUGCAUGUGUAAUGUAGACUUAGUAUUUCUUGUAGGUUAAAGGGCCUAGUGGAAAACUUAUUUUUACUUCUCUUAAUUGGUUAAGUGAUGCCAUUAGACUAUCUGGACUAGUUGAAUAAGGAUUCCAUCCAAACUUUCACAUCCUAAGAAUCUGUGAUUCUCCCUUCAAUUGAAUUGUGAUCCACAGUUUGGCUCUGCUUUAGUUUUCUUCCACUUUGUUGGAAGACUUUUGAGCUUCCAGUUGGUUUGGAUGGUUAACUACAGCUACAAUUAGAACGAAAAUAGCUGUCCCAUCCCCAGCUCUUCAGUCCCUAUCUCCUAAAAUUAGUAGCUAUAGGAAGGGAGCCCUCCUUUGUUUCCUUGAGAUUUGCUGAAAGCAGGACUUCGUUUUCAAAAAAAAUACAGCAAGUGCUUAGUGACAAGCCAUACUUGCAUGUGAACACAAAAUGAUGUUAUCUUUAUCCAAACAUGUACCUGUUAUGACAUGUACUUUAUAAAAACUCUCAGAAAAGUGCACCUCAGUGAAUGGGCACUUUAAAAAAGCAUUUAUUCAUUUAAAUUACUGGGAAAACCAAACCAGAGCUGACCUUGUUUGCCCAAAUGAAAUACACCAAACUAUGGUUUCUCUCGCCAUUCCAAGUUUACUACCCUCUCUGUGACUUUGGUGUGUGUUUUCUAUUCUGCUUCUCUGUAGAUUGGCAAUAAUGUGACCAACAAUUUAUAGCUUUGCUGGACUUUGUAUAAAAAAAAUCUAGAGGAAUGUUAACUUCAUGGAAGGACUUGAAAUUGCCAUCCUGAAUAUUGGCAAAUUGUCACCACAAUUAAAAUUCUAGGAGCUACUAAUUAAGAGAAAAGACAAAUGUUAUUCCAACAGCACACAAGUCAGGUGUUUUAUUGUUUUCCUGGACUUUGGAAUCUUUUUAUCAAUUUCAAAUUUGCAGUGCUUUAUAUUAAAUUUAUGAAUUACUUUAAUUUUACCUUGUAAGAUUAAAUGAUUUAGAAGUUUGAUCUUUAAUACUUACAUUUUGUUUUUUUUACAGAUUUACUUGCAAAAUACUGCAACUUUGAGUACUAUAGAAAUAAAUGUCUUUUUAAAAAUGUUAUUCCCCUAGUCAGCUCCAUUCAGCUUUUGUGCUGUUCAUAUUACACUUUUCAGAUUGCUUGUUAUAAUCACUGUGAUUUUAUUGAAUUUUUGAACACUUAUUUAUAAUUUUAGGAAAUCUCUAUACAAUGUAAAGAAAGACUAAAUAGAUACUAAUAUACAAAAAUAAAAUUAUAUUUAAAAUAGAUCCACAUAAGAAUUAAAAUGUCUUAUCUUAACAUCUAUUGACCAUCCUCUAAAACUUUUUUAAAAACAUUUUUGUCAGCUGAGGGGAGUAGCCCAUGCCUAUAAUCACAAUGACUCAAGAGGCUAAGGCAAGCGGAUCACAAAUUUAAAACCAGCCUCAGCAAAUCACCUAGGCUCUGACCAACUUAGUGAGACCCAGUCUGAAAUAAAAUUUUUUUAAAAGUGGGGGCUGGUGAUGUUGCUAAUUGGUUAGCACACCUGGGUUUAAUCCCUGAUACAAAAAAAAAAAAAAAAAUUGUCACUCAGCAUCAAAGUGAGGGAAAAUUUAAACAAUUUGGUUUUUAGUUUUUAUUCUUGCCAGUGGGCAUUUUAUGCUAAUCAAGUUAUUAAGUUGAAAAGCUGUCAAGGGUUUGGCGAACUGAAUGUCAUAUUCUCCAAGAGCCAAGCCCUUUAAGUGCUUUUCUAGGGGCAGACGUUUUCUGAUGUGCUCAGUCUCAAUAAUGCUGCUCACUUCUCUAAGUGACCUGAUCCCAGGGUACCAAAAAAAAAAAAAAAAAAAAAGCUGUCUGGAAGGCCUCACAGUGUGAAGGCUUGUGAGUUUUGGGGGGCAGAGUGGGGGUGGGGUGGAAAACCUCACCAUAGUUAAAAAUUUCCAGUACAGGAAUCUCUAGGCUUUCCUGUUCUUAGGCUCAAUUUUCACUAUUGGUUUCACUAGGAAUCUGUCUUUUGAGAGAUCACCAUUAUAAAGUCUUGUAAAUUGUUUAAGCAAAUUAUAUAAUGGGUCACAUCUCCAUUGUCAAUCUAAAUCAUGGUUCUUGAUGAUUUCACAUUUAGAGUAAAUGAACCAAUUUCCAGUGCUUGGUUGUUUUGGGGGAGCAGAGUGUGGUCUCCAAGGACAGGGAGUCUUCAGGGAGCACAGACCAUGUUGUCUGGUUUUUCAGCUAUAGGAAUUGAUCACAUCCUUGAGAUUCAGAGUUGAAACUUCUAGUGUAGUGUUUCCUUCAUGCUUAGAAUAGUGCUUUUAUAUGUGCUUAGGGCCGAAAGUUUGAAGAGCAAAAUGUGGUGCGAAUAGUGCAUUUUUGUUUGUUCCUUAGCUUGACUUUGCAUUUACUUGAAAAUACAGACUGUAUUCUUACAUCUGAAUGGCCUCCUGACAUUGGUGGGAUUAAAAAACAAAACUAAAAGGCUGGGGAUAUAGCUCAGUGGUAGAGUACUUGCCUAUCAUGCACAAGGCUGUGGUGUCCCCAGCACUGGAAGAAAAACUCCUUAAAACAAAGCCAAAGAUCACAAAAAAAUUAUAGAAUGGCAGCUGCCUGUAGUUUUAUUUUUUAAAAAUAAUUAUUACUCUUGACAACAUUUUAUCUUCAAAGUGUUUGGUGAAUAUUAAUUAACUUUUUAAAACUUUAAAGGAAUCCAAGUCAGCUUGCUUUUUCAUAGUGAAUAGCCCAUUGAAGUCAUGUUGUAUAAGAUUGAGCUUUAAUUGACCUAUAAUAGAAUUAUUAAAAGAAUCUUAAUGGUACGCCUGAGCUUCAAAGAACAGAGAUCUAAGUGGAGUAAAGUAAUGUGCAUCUAAGAAAGUAAUUUGGUUCAUGCUGAUGAAAAGCUGAAUUUAUUGUCUUUGCCAAAUAAAUUCAUGGCCAAAUAAAAUCCCUUAGUGGUGAGUGAAACGGACUGGGUUUAAUUUGAUUGCUGCUUUUUUUCUUGAGGCUAUAGAGUAAUGUCUGACCUGACAUCUGCAAUCAACAUUUAGAAGAUGUGAAUGUUUAGUCAAUUUGGGCCCAAUACUUUUCCCAUACUUAAUUGGAGAAGUAGCAAAAAAGUAUUAAUAAUAAGCCCAGAAAUCAACCCAUCCAAAUAAAAAAUAAAAGGCCUGAAAUAGUUAGCAUUCAAAAACAUUUUCAAAAUAAAAGUACAGGUACUUAAAGGUUGAUAACAUAACUACAAUUUCAAAAUAAUUUCCCUGCUGAAUUUCUGAAAAAUUUGCUUUUGUUGAAGGUUUCUCUUUUAAGGUGGUUAUUCUAAAAUGACAUAUAUUAUUUCCUGAUGAACUGUUCCCCCAUCUACUCACAUUUAUGCCAUAUCUCAUAAAUCCUCCCCUCCCCCACACAUACCACAGACAGUUAUCAGUGGUGAGUUAAUUUUUAACCCUUGUGGCAAUGAGGAAGUGCUCCAGUGGAUAAAUUCAAAACCCUGGACUCUAGUAAUUCAUAACCCCUUCUAUGUAAUGAGAGCAACUGAUAUAAUACAGUAAAAGGAGAAAUAUUGCAUGUAUACAUAAUAUGUAGACAAAGUAAAUAACCAUCCAUGAGGAUGUAAUUCAAGGAAUGUCUAAGGGAGCCUUUACUUACCCAAGCCUCACUUUUCUAAUUUGUAAUAUGGCCUCAGAAAGCAAACAAAAAACAUGUUUUUCACAAAUGUGUAUUAUUUUCAAAGUCAAGAUCCUUGCAAGUUCUUGCUGCAGAAAAAGACAACUGUUUAGUUCCUGACUGUUUUAUGCCUGAGCAUGUUGGCAUGGGGGUGAUGUCUCCUAGAGAUCUACUUUGUUUUUUUUUUAAAUAUAUAUUUAAAAUUUUUGAUUAACAUUAAUCAUACAUAUUAAUGGGAUUCUGUGUGACAUUUUAGUACCUGUGUAGUGUGCACUGAUUAAAUCUUUUCCCUUUAUCCACGCUGCCUUCCCACAUCUAGUUGUCCCUAUUCUAUAUUCAUUAGUCUUUUAUGCAGUCCUCAGUUCCUCUGAAGCUCUCUCUGACCUCCUUCGGGAUAAAAUUCAUGAAUGCUUUCCCUGUCUUUUUCCUCAUCUUUACAUGCUUCUAUUAUAGCUUGUAUCAUAGUGAUGCAUUAUUUUUUAUAUGCUGGUAGUUCAUCAGUGCUGAACUGUAUCGAGUUCAUCUCUGUUCUCUAUUUCCUAGUAUGUAAAGGUUGCAUAUUGAAUUUUUAUUGAGAUAAAAUGAAGUAAAAAUGCUCACCCCAGUCACUCAAAGGUCUUUAAGAUUUAGUUAAAUGUAAUGGAGCAGCUUUUUUAAAAAACACUCCAUUUUUAAAGAGUAAUAUUAUCUUGUUUUUUUUCCUACAAUGUCAAUCAGUUAAAUGAAGAAAUUUUGGAAGAUACAUAUAGUAGUUCUCUUAUCCAUGGUUUCACUUUUUGUAGUUCCAGUUACCUGUGGUCAACUACAGUCCUGAAAAUAUUAAAUGGAAUAUUCCAGAAACAAUUAAUGAGUUUUAAAUAACUUUCAUUAUAGAAUAUAAUUACAAUUAUCCUAUUUUAUUUUUCAGUUGUUGUUACCCUCUUUCUGUGCCUGAUUUAUAAAGUAAGACUCUAUUGUAGGUAUGUGAAAACAUAGUAUAUAUGACCCCAUUAGUAGUCUUCAAACAUAUCCUCCACAGAUUAACAGGGAGGUGGUGGGGGCUACUGUACAUUUUUAAUGAAGAACAUUGAAAUAAUUUAUUAUUUCACCCCUCAGAGAUAAACAUUAAUAAUAUUUUGAUAUAUUUCCUCAGUCUUUUUACUUAAAUAUAUACAUAUACAUAUUUAUUUAAGUACAGUGGGGAUGUUACAGCUUAUGCUAUUUUGUAACUGUUUUGCCUUUUGAUAAGUAGCUUAUACCAUCAUGUAUCAGUAAAUAUUCAUCUAAGAUAUAUUUUAAUGCUUCAUCAUAUGAACCUACCAUAUAAUGUAUUGGUUAAAAUGUAAGUUUUUCUAGUUUGGGUUGUUGUUAUAAAUUAUUCUGUAUGAACAUCAUUCUGUAAAGGAUUUAGAAUUCAACUGGUUUAACUACACUAGUUUAAAAUAUUAAAAUAUUUUCAUACUAAUUAUAAAAUAGUCACUGCCUGAGUCUUCUGCAUCUCCUUCUGAACUGAUGAAUUAGUAGUCUAGUAGUGAAGGGGUUUGUGCCAGGCACAGGAGCAGGUAGCACAAAUGGCAUAUAUUUUGAUUAGUCCUGAUGGUGAUUUAUCUGUUCAAAAUAGUUAACAACACCCUGAUACUCCACAGAUAUUUCUCUUUUUUUGAAGCCCGACUUGUAAAAAUCUUUGACCAACAAACGUGUCAGGAUCCUAUCAGGAACUGCUCCCUUGAGUUUCGAUAAUUCAUGGAGACUCACUAAAGGUACUAUUUAAAAAGGAAAGGAGAAGGAACCCACAGGGCAGAUGAGAAUAGAGACCAUUUUAACCCCAAAGUGUAAAGUUGAGUGGUUACUAGAAACUGCCAGGAGAGAGCCACUUUGAAAAGAGCUAUGACUUUUGAUGAAGGGUCACAGUCAAGCAGUGACAGCCCUAUGGAGAACAAGCCCAGGAGAUGGAGAUCCCAGCCUCCUCUUCCCUCUUCCCUCUGGCCUCCUAUCAGGGCUCUUCUUUGCUGGCCACCACAGGAAGACCACUGGGAAACCUGUAUCUAUAGAUCAGCCUCUCCGGGUGGAGAAUUAAUUUGGAAGGGUAAGCCCAGAGGAGAGCUGGCACACAUUCAGCCACUAUUCCAUAAUGAAAAUUUGUUUCUAGAAAAUUUUAGAUCCUCAAAUGUAGGCUAUAAUCAGGAUAUCAGUUGAUUAUAUUUAUAGAUCAUCUGAAUUGACUUAUGAGGGAGUGCACUCUGCGUCAGUGGUGGGAGGGAAGAAUCACAGGGGUAUGAGGCACCUGGGGAUGUAGAAGCACCUUGGUUAACCCCUCCUGCCCCCAGAGUUCAGCAGCGGGAAGAGUGGGUAUACAUCUUCAGAGAAGGGGCGGAUUCUCAGUUCUUUCUACACAGGACAGUGGGCCAACUCCUAGAUUCAUGGAUGUUAUAAAAUUAUCUCAGAAGAGACCUUAAAGAACAUCUCUGUCAGCAAUAUUCCAACUGUUUUUAGUCACAGAGUUCUUUCAUGAAAUGAAAUUUUAUGCAGAAGCCCAACAUAUAAAGCAAACAAAAGUACAGCUGCUGUGGUGGGUAGGAGUGAGACUCCCAUCCUCCCUUCUCCUCUUAUUCUGUACCCUGGGGACUUAGAGGAUUUGCCUAGGCACACAGCCUCCUGGUGACAAAGUCUCUGCCUGUGGAUUAUAUUCUCUGUCUCUGGACAGAGCCUCCUCCAGUAGUUGUAAGUUUGUCAUGAAGGCUUCUCACACAGUCUCCGCUUCACACUAUGGUCUUAGCAGCUUGAUAACAACAGUGAGCUGUGAUAUAACCCUCUGUCUGCUUCUGAGCCUUGUGUCUGUGUUCUAUAUCCUAACCACACUUUAUAAUCCUAACUACACUUCAUAAACAAAUCAGUGCUCCGGCCCUAUCUCCAGAGAGCCUGCAUUGUUCGCUGUGCACUGGGUGGAUAGGCUUCAGUAGUUUUCAGAAGCUCAGAGGAUUCCAGUGAACAACAAGGGCUGAGAAUGUCUGUUCUGGUGGCAGCAAGCACUAGUUCCCAGAAAGGAGGUUUGCUUAGGUCGGACCCAGGCAGCAGCUGAUACUUCUAGCAGUUCCCACACAGAUUGUGAAAUCCAGGGGAAAUGAAAUGUAAGCUACUCAUCAGGAAGAAGAUUGGAGUCUGAUUUUGUGACAUGGAAAUUGGGACUAAAUUGCUCAUAAUUAUGUUGUUUUUAAGAUACUUUGUAAAUCAGAAAUAAACUGAGUAAUAAAACUCCAGUGAAAAGCAAAUAUCUGUGCAUAUAAUAAGUGCUUGGAGGUAGAGUUAUGUUUUCCCAAGAGUCACUCACUCAUCGAUAUCCUAUCAUAUAUAAGCAGUUAAGCAGUUACAAUGCCUUCUUUUUUUUGCACAUACAAAAAAUAAGUUUAUUGGGAUAAACAUACAACAUAAAUUUUAACUGCAGGUGGUUAUACUUUUAGUGUUUCUGAAAUGGUUCAGUAGAAUUAUCUUAAGUUAUAGAAUAAAAUUUUAGAAGGAUUUAGGUGCAUAAAGAGAGUAGUAUUUUUAAGGAUGUUCAUUUCUCCCAUAUAAUAAAUAAAUAUUGUUAAGGUAUAGAUAUGCAAUUAUAAUUUAUACGAAGACAUUUCUGUAAUUUGUUACCCAAUGGUUUAAAUGAAUGAGAAAUAAACCACAUUUAUUUUGGUUUACAUUCUCUUCACAAACAUUAAUAAAAUCUAUGCUUUGCUUUUUUUUUUUCUAGUGGAGGGAUUGAACCCAUAGUUUCAUGCAUGCCAGGCAACCUCUAUCCAACUGAGCUGUACCCCUAGUGAAGCCUCUGCAUUUUUAGUUUUAGGCUGACUAUCUCAUUAUAUUUGAAAAAUGCUUUAUCAAUCAUUUUCUUCUUCCAAAUAUGGUCCACUCUGUUUCUUUAUAUCGGGUCUCUUUUUCCUUGUAAUAAACAUUUGGCAAUAUAGUAAAUAGUACGUUUGCAUUUUCCUAUGGCUACCCAACACUGAAGUUACCUACCUAAAGCAUUCUCGAUCCUUAUUUCUAGCUAAAACAUUUUCCAUCCCUUUAAAGUAUUUUUUUUCCUCAAAGUCCAAUAGAAGUUACAGCUCUAGAAAAGAAAACUAAUGUAAAUGAAUUAGGAAAAGUUCUUCCUACAUUUUGGUCUUAAAAGUGUAACGUGUUUAUUUGCCUUAGAACGUCAUGUGAUAAUUGUACCCAUUAAUGGCUGUUGUCGGGAAAUGAAAUUGUUGUGAUUUUUGUGCUUCUUGGGUUUCAGAGAGACCAUCUCAGGCCGACACCAUAAUUAAGACACAAGGCUUUAGAGAAAGAUAAUCUCUCUCAAUACCAGCAGAAAAAUAAACUUAAGACUAUGUGAAUGGCUUUUUACUGUAAUAAAAAUUAAACAGAUUUGUAGUUAUAAACCCAGUUCUGUGAAAACUAAAAAUCCUGAGGCGGAGACUUUCUUGCCAACUGUGGGAAGAAGUGCUUUUCUUUUGUGGUUAUAUCAUAUUACUAGAUGCUGUAGAGAGAUUUGCAUAAAGGGACAGUGAAGUCCAUGCCAUGGUACUGCUACCAUGGUCCAGAGGGCAGCCCCUUCGGCUCCCUGCCAAGUCCUGUUACUCUGUCAUAGUUGCCUUCUCUUCACUGCGCCGGGCUUGUGACUGGCUCUUCAGGAUUUCUUUCAGCAUCCUCGUUUCCUCUCUUUUGUUCUUGAAUCUGGUAUUGGUAUUUACCAAGAAAUGAUGUAUACACUUGAAGAAGUAUUUCCAGGGCACCUUGAGUUAUUUAAAAGAAAAAUCUAAAAAUGAACACAUGUAUCCUCACUCUUACUUCAUGUGUGUUAAAUAUUUAUCUUUCCUUGAUGGGUAUUAAAAUGAAAGCAUUUUAGCCCCGAGAUACCUCUAGUAAAAGUGAAGCAUAACUGGAGAAGGUGCAAAGGAAGAACAUGAGGUGAUUUUGUGUUUAAACAAAGCAGAAUUCCUUUUCAUGAAUCAGAUUUGGGUUAUGAAGUGUCAGUUCUGCACAUUCUUUAUAAAGAGACUAAAAUGGGAAUGAUGAUGUUUGCCUUGCAGGGCUUUGGGAGGCUUGGAAACAAUCCAGUAAUAACAUAUAUAAACCCCUAGCAUGAAGCCUGCAGAGUGUAGAAACAAAGGGCAGCUCUUGUUAGCACUUCUGUUCUCUUCUGCAGACUGCCCACCCUCCAUGCCUCACCCGAGUGUUAGUAGCCUCUUUUCUCUGACCAUUCCUAGUCUCCCUUCCCUGGUCAGGCCAUAUUCCCUCCUGGAACCCCCAGUGGAAUCCAUCUCUGCUUGGAAGUUUGGUAGUCUUUGGAUCCAGAAGCUGCUGUGUCAGCAUUAGUGGCUCAGGGCAUUAGAUUUUAAUAGAACAAAAGCCUCCAUAAAAGCAAACAGUGAUUGGGUUCAGUUUGCCAAUAUGCCUACAUCAGCAACACCAAAGUGACUCGCAGGGAAAAUUUGAAAAACAAAACUCCCCCAAAAACUUCCAGUAAAUAAAUGUAACAUAGCAUUCCUUGGUUUGUUUCUUUGUUGGAAGAAGGCCUUCAGCCUCGUCAUCAUUCUCAUCGCAUUAGUCUGUUUGAACUGCCGUAAAAGAAAAAUGGCUUAGACAAUAUUAAUUUCUUUUGUCACAGUUCUGAAGGCUGGAAGUCCCAGAUCAAGGUUCCAGCUGGUUUGGUUUCUGAUGAGGGCUCUUUUCUUGGCUUACAGUUCACCACUGUCCUGUCAUGUCUUCACAUGGCUUCUCUGCAGUUCCAAUCUGUGGAGAGAGAGAGAGACAAAAGAGAGCUCUUUUUUUUUUAUAAGUUCACUGGUGUCUCUUUAUAAUUCUGUUGGGUCAGGUCUCUGCCCUUUAUCGCCUUUUCUUUGGUGUGUGUGUGGGGGUGUUUACCAGGGAUUGAACUCAGGGGCACUUGACCACUGAGCCACAUCCCCAGCCCUAUUUUGUAUUUUAUUUAGAGACCAGGUCUCACUGAGUUGCUGAGGGCCUCACUUUUGCUGAAGCUGGCUUUGAGAUCCUUCUGCCUCAGCCUCCCGAGCCACUGGAAUUACGAACAUGUGCCACGACACCCAACCCUUUAUCGCCUUUUUUUUUUUUAACCUUAAUUACUUCCUCAGAGUCCCUAUCUCAAAAUAUAGCUGCACUGGGGGUUAGGGCUUCAGCAUGUGAAUGGAGAGGCACCAACAUUCAGUCCAUAAUAAUGGUCAUUAUCAUUUAUUUGAUAACAUUUAUUGAACAUUCAAAAUACUAGGAGGUGAUAGAAGGGGUGUAUGUUAGGUUUUAUUAAGAUCUAUGUUAUAGCUGCUGUAGCAAAUUUGUGCGAACAUUAUUUUUUAAAAAAAUCUUAACUAUAUUGUUUCAUUUGAUUCUCAAGCAGCCCUCUAUGAGACAGGCAGUAUAUGUCUCCAUUUGAUAGGUAGAAAAUUAAGGUUUGAAUAAAUUUAGUAAUUAGCUGAUUAUACAGUUUGCAAGCACGCGCAAGGACUGGAAUGAGAAAUGUGUUCUGUCGUGCAGCUGUGCUCUAAACCACUGCAUCACAGCCUUAUUGAGAUAAUGCUUGCAUCAUAGCUCUCAACAGCACAAGUUGACUAAGGCAAGUGACACAGCAAACUCCAGAUUUAGCAGGUGCAGUGUCACAUGGCUAGGGUGUGAAUUCAGGGAGAAUGGAAGUCAGUGUCAUAAUCAAUCACAAUGCUGUGUUUGCUCUUAUUAUACUUGUGCAAAACUUGAUCAGAAUUUACCAAACUGUGUGGAAAUAUAUGCUGUGUCAAGAAUUUACACUUAUCCCAACUCCCACUUGGGAACCUACUGCAAGUAGACAUUUAGCACCAUGCUUGGCAUAGACUAGAUGCACAUCAAGUGUUAAACUAAUGGAAUUAUUAGUAUGUUGGUGACCUGAGUCAGUUUCCUUGAUAUAACUAAGCCUUCUUGGUGUUACCUUAAUCACUUAUUAACAGGAGAUAAUAAUAUCUAUCACUGCCAUUUUCCUGAGGAUUAAAUAUAUACUAUUUAUUUUUAAAAAGUAGUUGCUUUUCCUCUCCUCCCUGCUUUUCACUGUGUUUCUAUAAAUUUGGGAAAAUAGGAAAUAGUUUAAUUUUGGCCUGUUUCAGGCAAAGGGUUGUAUAAUGGGAAUCCUCCUCAUAAAUAUCUCCCACACUUUCUAAUUAAAAACUGUAUGAUAUUCAGCUAAAAUUUUAGAUCUCCUUGAAGGCAUAAGGUCAUUAGCCAUUUGCAGUUCAUCUUGCAUUGUUAUAGUGCUGGGGUAGAUUUCUUCUUUCUCAUUCCUAUAGAGAAUAUGUGCAAAGGGAGUUUAGAGUGAGUAAAGUAGUAUAACUGUGUUAAUGAGGGCUCUUCGAAGAGGAACAAACCUGAUAGGUACUACAGUGUGUGGGGCAGGGGAAUGUGAAGCACAGGAGUGAGAUAGGCAGAGGGAAGAGUGUGAGGACCUUCGGCAGGAAAGACAAGGAUCCGCUGAGGUAAGCAGGGCAUCAAAACUUAACUCUGCCCAUUCCUCUGUACCUUGGAAGUUGAAGCCUGGGGAUCAUUUCUGAUUGCUGAUGCAGAUAUUGAGUUGUAUCUCAUGCAAAUUCCUAAAUUAAAAACAAUUAUGUUGCAUUAUACUUUUGAUAUUUUUCUUCCAUAGAAAGAAUUGCAUCAAUAUUAAAAUUGUACAUGACAUAUAUCUGCAUCCACACUUGUACGUCUAUGUACACAAUCUUGCUGCUGAAAAGACACUUUGAAAAGCCUCACUGAUAUGAUUUCCUUUUCUUAGUCAUUCCUGUAUUGCUUUUUUUUAAACUGUAAAAGUGUCUGUGAUUUUUCCAGUAAUUAUUCUCAGGAAUCCUAUGAUAAUGUUUUAGCACAAGUGAAUUGAAUAUAUUUUUGCAGUAGCCAUUUUUUCCUCAUUGUGUCAGUUUUUGUAUAUGAAUGAAAAGUGUAUAUAGAAUGUGACAUUAAUACCUGGGGCCCUCCCUAAAUCUUUAGCCCUCCAAUGGCCAUAAUGUUAUCUUUGCUCAUUUCUGAGAAAUAUCAUUUCUUCAUUAUAAUAAUGCAUACACACACACAAACACAUUUAUGUGUGUGUGUGUAUAACUAAAAUCUUACUUUUUCGCAACCCACCAGAUGUAAGGCAGACACACAUCUGGCUUCUAUCAGUUAGGGAGUAGCUUUAAGCACAUCCUGUUAAAUUGUCUGUUCCCAAAAGCAAUCCCAACACAUUCAGUGAAUGUUAUUUUUCCCCCACAGUUAUGUUCUUGAUUGGACCACAAAUUUUUCCAUAAUACUCUACUUGAAAAAUAGGACAUUCUAGCUCCUUAUUCAUAAUCAGCUCUCACCCCCAGCCUUUUUUAGAAAACUCUUAUAAAAAAAUGAGACAUUAAGUGGAUUGUGUUCCAGCUUUGGAAAGAUAAGUGAGUAUUAGUUGUACCAUUUUUUAGUUGCGUUGAUUAACUGGUUCUCAUUCUUUGUGUUUGUGUACUGAUUAGAGCUGGUGUAACUAACUCUCUCCUGUCCUUUACGUGUCUGAGAUAUACUAGAUUUGCUGCUGGUUUUCAAUCAAUUACUUAUAAAGGAAAGCAAAUGAUUAACUUCAAAUAAUUUAAAGUUAGUUAAAACAAUUUGAAAAAUUCUAGACUUUGAAUGUUGCUAGUUUUACUACUGAAGGUUUGGAAUAUAAAAGAAAAAAAUUCAUCUUUUAGAGCAAGAAAAUUAUAAGAGGGCCCUGAAUUUUCUCCAGUACACUUUAUUGACAGCAUGUUUCAUAAUUUAACCUUAACUACUAAGGUAGCCAUAAUACUUAUUCUGUUUUCUAGUUGUUGCAUAAUUAAUAAUUAAGCUAGAUUUUUACAGAAAAUUUGAUUUGCUGAAAAUUUGAUUUGCAGAAAAUUUUUUGGAAUUUUUGAAGAAAAUAGUGCUGAAGGGGUGCAUCUUAUCAGUAAUCUGGUGGAAGCCAUGGUUCACUGGAUACAACAGAGAAAUUAAAGAAAGGAGCCAUGUUUCAACAGUGGUAGCUUCCCUAACAGGGCAGAGGAUAAUCUUCCUUUAAGCUUUCAAAUUGUGGAAGAGGAGAUCUCAGAAAACAAAACACUACUGAGGCCUCUAUUGCUCCUGUAACUUGGAACCGGAGAGGAGGCAAGAUGCUGGCAUAGCUGUUGAGCUGAGAACCUGCUAUGCCAACAUAUUGCCAUCUUUCCUGUCUGACAGCAGCCUGGCCUUCUGCACACCAUUCUUCCUCGUCUUGCUGCAGAUACGUGCCCUUCUAUGGAUGUGGGUUUUCUUGAUAUACCACCUUCCCACCGUGUACUGGGACACUCGCCCUGUUCUGGCCAUGUUGACCUUUUUGGUUAUUCUUGGAUUCCACUGAGGAUGUUCCUGCCUCUUAGUUUUCUUUCUCUCAUCAUUGGAGUCUCAGCAGGGACUCACAUCUCAGAGAAGCCUUCCUUAAUUACACUGUCUGUCACAGCUGUCAUGUACCCCAUCUUCCUCCUCCCAUUACGCUGUGGUACCUUCAGAAUCCUAGGUCACUCACUGAAUGUGUCUGUUCUCGUGUUUGCUAUCCUGUUUCUUGCACUAGAAUAUGAAUUCCUCAAGGUUAGGGUUUGUCUAUUGACCCAUUGUAUCCCCAGCACCAGACACCUAGUAAGCCUUCAGUACGUGUGUUUGAAACUCCAAAGGAAUUUUAUUCUACAAUAGAGGGGUCAAGGAGUUACAUUUUUCAUGUUACCAAUGGCUUUGAUGUAACUCUGGCUCACAGGUAAUAAAGAAAUAAAGAGAUGAUGUUGAGUUCUUGGCCAGCAAGCCGAACACCUUAAAGCAGUCAAAAUAAAUGCUUUGUGGGGUCCACAGACCCAAGGCAGUAAGCAUAUUAUAAUGGAAAAGGCAUCAGUUUCAAAAUAAAAAUUUCUGUUCCAGUCUCCCCACUGGUGUUUUCCUGCAGGUCCUCAGACAAGUCACUUAGCCUCUGAGCCACUGUUUUAUCAGUUGUUAAAAGAAAAUAUUGAUACCAACUCCACAGGAUUCUUGCAAGGGAUAUUUUAACCAGAAGGUUUUUACCUUGCAUCUAAAAGCAUGUCUAUAAAAUUUCUGAUAUAUAUGCACUAAUAAACAUCCCACAAAUUUUAAGUAUUUUACUUUCUAGAAAUUUUUUUUUCUUCAGUUAGAAACAGAUAAUUUUAAGUAUGUCAAAACUGUAGUACAUGUAGAACUCUGUAUGAGACAAAGAAAUCUGGAGCAACCAAGGAGUUAAGAAGGAUUUCAAAUUCUUCUUCUGGUUAGUUCACACUCUUCACCUUCUUUAUUUCUAAAGUUACUCAUUGUCGGGCUAGGGUUAUAGCCCAGUGGUUGAGCGCUUGCCUCGCAUGUGUGAGGCACUAGGUUUGAUCCUCAGUGCUACAAAAAUAAAUAAAUAAAACAAGAUAUUUUGUCCAUGUAUAACUUAAAAAAAUAUAUUUGUUUAAACAGUCACUCAUUGUGGACUUCUGACCUUUAAAGAUUCACUUUCUUACAGAGUAAGAGUACUUGAUAGGGAGUUGGAUGGUAGAGCACUUGCCUAGCAAGUGUGAGGCACUGGCCUCAAUUCUCAGCACCACAUAUAAAUAAAUGAAUAAAAUAAAGGUUCAUCAACAUCUAAAAAUUUUUUUUUAAAAAGAGUAUAAAACUCUGCUUUUAACAAACUAAAUUUAUGUUAAUUUUGAUGCUUUUCUAAGAAACAGAAAAAUGAUCAUACUUCUCAACUGAUACUAUUUAUUGUUACUCUGGGUAUUAGAACUGUAAUAUUCAGAAAGUGCUGGUUAUAUCUUUAUUUCAUACUUCUGAAAGUACAUCAAGUGAAGUUGUUCAUUUAACAAAAUUGUAAAGCUCAACACUGUGACAAUUUUAGUCUAUAGCUUUUGUAAGUGUUCUGUGUUAGGAGCCAUCCAUGGGCUGUGUGUGUGAGCUAUGCGCAUUUGAGUGUAUGAGGGGACUGGUCUGGCGUUGCUUGCUGAUUGGGCUGUGCAAAGCAAAUGUGCCUUUUCUCGCACUCUGCCUGUGAUCCCGCACAGCACCUGAGAUGGGUGUGAUUUGCCAAGGUGUCAAUCAAUCUGCUGACCACAGGACAUCACCAAGAAAGACUCUACCUUCGAAACCCUACCCCUUGCCUUAUUUGGGUGGAAUCUUCUAUCGAAAGUCUUCUCCCCAAUAAAUAUGGGGGUUUUGGGUGUGCUCGCUCUCUUGCCUCUUGCUCUUUCCAGCACUGCCCAGUGUGGAGCUGAGGUGAGGUCACAGAGCCAACCUUGACCCCCCCCAAAAGUAUUUUGUGUUUGUGUGGUUUUUUUCAUUGCUAGCCCAGUUCAUGCGGAUUGACCCUGAAUCCAUUGCUGUGCUGGACGUGGGCGAUAGUUCUGUUUAUGCAAGCAUAAUUACUUUAAAGACAUCAUUUAAAAACUCACAGUGGGUGUGGCAGUGCACGCCUGUAAUCCCAGUGGUUUGGGAGGCUGAGGCAGGAGAAUCACGAGUUUGAAGGUAGCCUCAGCCAAUUAGCAAGGCCCUAAGCAACUCAGUGAGACCCUGUCCCUAAACAAAAUACAAAAUAGGGCUGGGGAUAUGGCUUAGUGGUUAAGCACCCCGAGUUCAAUCCCUAGAACCAAAAAACAAACAAACAAAAAAACUCAAUAUGACAAAAAAAGUACCUUAAGCAAUAUGAAGUACUUUAAGUUUUAGAUUGUUUCUCUUGGUGGCUUGUGUAUUCAUCACCUUGUUUCAUUCCUUCAUUUCUUAAAUUUAUUCUUCAUUUCUUAAAUCUAUAUAUUCAGAAACAAAUAUAUAGAACAACAGCCUCUAGCCCUGGAAGGCCAUUGUACAAGACCUAUGUUAGCCAUAACUUUGAAGAACUCACUGAAAAUUGACAGUCAUAACACCUUGUUCAUUCUUUACCCUGAUAGUGAAAGUACUUUCUUGAGGGAAUCAAGAGGCCAGAUAAUAUAGCUUCUUGUUUUUUUAUUUACUUUUUUUUAACCUAUAACUUAGUUUAUAAAAUUUGUUUCAUGAGUUUGAGUUUCUUUGCCUUCUUCAGAGUUCCAUCCACAUCAGUUAUAGACAUAUCCAUUGCUCCCUUGACCUCCAUGCAGUUGAUGAGCUGGAUUCCAAGAAUGGAAAUGAACUUUGAACUCACUUAGAUCAACCCUACACAUCUGAAUAUGUUUUACUGUCAUUGCUGAACACCCAUACCUUCCUUUAUUCCCCCAAGUAAACAGUCAUGGAAGGGGACAAUUUGGACAUAACAACAUUAUAGUGAAAGGCUGAAACAUUAAUAUUCUUAAGUAUCCACUAUCUUCUUUCUAUCAGUGGGUUUUACAUUUGAAUGUUAUUCUGCCAAUCACUUGGAGAGCUUGUUUAAAAACAGACUCCCAAACCAUCCUCCAGGCAUUCAGAUUUAAUAGAUCUUGACUGAAAUUUAAGAAUCUUCAUUUCUAAUGAGCACCCUAUUGAUGUUGAUUCAGUUUGAGAAUGCAUUAUACUUUCUCUCAAGUCUUAAGUCAGAGGGCAGGUUUUCAAAUUUCUUAAAUGAGUCUCAAUAUGGAACUUAGGCCUGGUGGUAAAAGGAGUCUGCUUUCUCACUAUGCCUGGGCUUACGGAAAACUGGACCAACGUUUUGUAGCUGUGCUUUAUCCUCUGAGGUUUCUUACAUAAACAGCCCACAUAACUACGCACAGGAGCAUUGCACCAGGGGCUACCCAUGUGCUUCUGCGGAGCUGUUUUUAACUUCAAUCAUCUUUUCUCCACUGGUAUACAUUACAGUUUCCAAGAUGUUGUAUUUUCUUUCCUGAUUGACUGGAUAUUGACCCAAAGUCUUUACCUCUAAAUAUUCUCCUUUCUGUAGGAUUUCUGUCAAAAUGGAAAAUGAUAUAUGAGCUCCUUGAGGCUACAGACUAGGUCUAAUUAUGUAGAAGGAAAUUUUUCAAAAUUUAUAGGGCUCUUACAGUGGUAAAUCUUUAUGUAAACAAAGGAUCAUAUCUUAAUUGAUCUAUUUCUUAAGUUUAGAUUUUUGUGGAUUCUCUUUUAAAUUGGGACAUCUUUCCUUUGUGAGGCAGUGUGGUAUAGUAGAAAGAACUUCAGAAUGAAGUACAAAAAGUUCUGGCUUCUUGUAUUGGUCCUGUCCUUUUCCAGCCCUGCAUGUGACUUUGCACAGCUCAUUUAAUCAUUUUCCUUAGUUGUAAAUUGGGGGUAAUAGUAGGAGACCUUAUAUGUUAGGAAGAAAAGAGAGAAAGGAGAAAUAACAGCUGUGAAAAGUAAACCUGUGGUCAUAUUGGAAUAUAACCUACAAAAAGAAUAGUUGAGGGUUUGAGUAGUAAUUAAUUUUAUUUUUUUCAACAUUUUAUUGCUUUGGGUUGUAAUUGUCUAAUUGAACAUAAGAAAAAAAUAGAGAUGCAGGUAGAAGGCAGAUAACUUUUUUCUCAUCCAACCUGAACCACUUAUUUUCAAUCUAAUUCCUGUCCAAGAAAAGAAAACUAGUAUUUUAGUUAGCUUCAUCUUGAGGGAAUGUCCUGCUUCUCUUCUGCUGUUUAAAAGCCUAAAAAUAUGAUAAUGAUUCUGUGACUCACACGCUUGCUUUCUCAUUGGCUUACUAUGUGAUUCAAAUCAGAUAAGGUAUAAUAAACUGCUUUGAAAAAUGGUAAGAAGCUCUGAAAAAAGAAAGAAUGAAGUUCUAAGAUAUUGUUUACAAAUCUUUUCUCCCUUUACACCUACAAAAUUUUAUAUUUGAAAUGAUUGAGAUUUUAAUAAAAUCAAAAAAUUUUCUUCUAA